rnacentral:lncRNA from 1 species
GCAGGGCUGGAGCUGCCCCAGGCUCUGGCAUCAUCCCCGAGGGCUGGAGCUCACUCCCCGCUAGAGGCUUUUCCGGACCCCACGUCCACAGGCAGGUGCAUCUGGUGAAGCUUUCGGCCACAGUUGGAGUGCAGUGGUGCCAUCUCCCUUCACGACGAACUCCACCCCCCAUCCCCAGGAUCAAGCGAUCCUCCCACCUCAGCCUCCCAGAGCUGGGACCACAGAUGCGUGCCACCACGCCCAGGUAUGU